UUCCGGUUGAUCCCGCCGGACCUGACUGCUAUCGGAUUGAUACUAAGCCAUGCGAGUCUUUGCAGUAAUGCAAGGCAUACGGCUCAGUAACACGUAGUCAACUUACCCUAUGGACGAGGAUAAUCUCGGGAAACUGAGCAUAAUACUCGAUAGAUCAUAAUGCCUGGAAUGGUUUAUGGUUGAAAUGAUUCGUCGCCAUAGGAUGGGACUGCGGCCUAUCAGCUUGUUGGUGAGGUAAUGGCCCACCAAGGCGAUUACAGGUACGGGCUCUGAGAGGAGAAGCCCGGAGAUGGGUACUGAGACAAGGACCCAGGCCCUAUGGGGCGCAGCAGGCGAGAAAACUUUGCAAUGUGCGAAAGCACGACAAGGUUAAUCCGAGUGAUUUCUGCUAAAGGAAUCUUUUGCAAGUCAUAAAACCACUAGUGAAUAAGGGGUGGGCAAGUUCUGGUGUCAGCCGCCGCGGUAAAACCAGCACCUCAAGUGGUCAGGAGGAUUAUUGGGCCUAAAGCAUCCGUAGCCGGCUCUGUAAGUUUUCGGUUAAAUCCAUGUGCUCAACGCAUGGGCUGCCGAAAAUACUGCAUGGCUAGGGAGUGGGAGAGGUAGACGGUACUCAGUAGGAAGGGGUAAAAUCCUUUGAUCUAUUGAUGACCACCUGUGGCGAAGGCGGUCUACCAGAACACGUUCGACGGUGAGGGAUGAAAGCUGGGGGAGCAAACCGGAUUAGAUACCCGGGUAGUCCCAGCUGUAAACGAUGCAGACUCGAUGAUGCAUUGGCAUAUAGCCAGUGCAGUGUCGCAGGGAAGCCGUUAAGUCUGCCGCCUGGGAAGUACGUACGCAAGUAUGAAACUUAAAGGAAUUGGCGGGGGAGCACCACAAGGGGUGAAGCCUGCGGUUCAAUUGGAAUCAACGCCGGA
rnacentral:rRNA from 1 species